GGGGACGUUCAUGGAUUCGACAGGGGUCCCCCGAGCUCAUUAAGCGUGUCGGAGGGUUGUCUUCGUCAUCAACACACACAGUUUAUAAUAACUGGCAAAUCAAACAAUAAUUUCGCAGUAGCUGCCUAAUCGCACUCUGCAUCGCCUAACAGCAUUUCCUAUAUGCUGUUAACGCGAUUCAACCUUAAUAGGAUAUGCUAAACACUGCCGUUUGAAGUCUGUUUAGAAGAAACUUAAUCAAGCUAGCAUCAUGUUGGUUGUUUAUCACUUUUCAUGAUGCGAAACCUUUCGAUAAACUACACACACGUAGAAAGAUGUGUAUCAGGACCUCUGGACGCGGGUUCAAAUCCCGCCGUCUCCAUAU
rnacentral:tmRNA from 1 species